AAUAGAUACCCCGGUAGUCCACGCCGUAAACGAUGAGUGCUAAGUGUUAGGGGGUUUCCGCCCCUUAGUGCUGCAGCUAACGCAUUAAGCACUCCGCCUGGGGAGUACGGUCGCAAGACUGAAACUCAAAGGAAUUGACGGGGGCCCGCACAAGCGGUGGAGCAUGUGGUUUAAUUCGAAGCAACGCGAAGAACCUUACCAGGUCUUGACAUCCCGUUGACCACUGUAGAGAUAUAGUUUCCCCUUCGGGGGCAACGGUGACAGGUGGUGCAUGGUUGUCGUCAGCUCGUGUCGUGAGAUGUUGGGUUAAGUCCCGCAACGAGCGCAACCCUUGAUCUUAGUUGCCAUCAUUUAGUUGGGCACUCUAAGGUGACUGCCGGUGACAAACCGGAGAAGGUGGGGAUGACGUCAAAUCAUCAUGCCCCUUAUGACCUGGGCUACACACGUGCUACAAUGGACGAUACAAACGGUUGCCAACUCGCGAGAGGGAGCUAAUCCGAUAAAGUCGUUCUCAGUUCGGAUUGUAGGCUGCAACUCGCCUA
rnacentral:rRNA from 1 species